AACGAACGCUGGCCGCAGGCUUAACACAUGCAAGUCGAGCGCAUCCUUCGGGGUGAGCGGCGGACGGGUGAGUAACGCGUGGGAACGUGCCCUCUUCUACGGAAUAGCCUCGGGAAACUGAGAGUAAUGCCGUAUACGCCCGCAAGGGGAAAGAUUUAUCGGAGGAGGAUCGGCCCGCGUUGGAUUAGGUAGUUGGUGGGGUAACGGCCUACCAAGCCGACGAUCCAUAGCUGGUUUGAGGGGAUGAUCAGCCACACUGGGACUGAGACACGGCCCAGACUCCUACGGGAGGCAGCAGUGGGGAAUCUUGGACAAUGGGGGCAACCCUGAUCCAGCCAUGCCGCGUGAUCGAUGAAGGCCUUAGGGUUGUAAAGAUCUUUCAGCUGGGAAGAUAAUGACGGUACCAGCAGAAGAAGCCCCGGCUAACUCCGUG
rnacentral:rRNA from 1 species